AAACUUUUGACUGUAUCUGUAUUUCAACCAAUUAUGAUUUCAGAAUACAUUUACUCAUACAGUGUCUGUGAGAAGGAGACACUGUCAGACAAAAAUAUUUUUGUAGCAUAUUACAAAUAUUAGUUUUACAUUCAACUAUAUCUGACACCAGUAGAUGUCUUAUAUUUUUGUUGAGCAACAUGGUUUUCAGUCUGCAUGUAGAACAGGAGUGGCUGUAGCAAGGAGAUGAUGUGAUCUGAAAGACCUUUUAUGGGGUUAGCUACUUUAGGUGUAAAUGCUUUGAUUUUGACUGAAUUAUAAAACCAAAUCGUUUUGAUGUCAUGAUGCAAACCCGCAGAAGGAACUGCAGGUGAAUGCCAUUUUGGGCUGUCUUGCUUUGAUUGAAAUUACAUAAGAUGAUAAUUCCAGUAAUGAGAUAUGGAAAUUGGUCAUUAUAUUAGUAAAAAUUUAAAAAAUAGUUGUGUUAUUGAACAUCAGAUAGUUGUAUUGAUCAUUUUAUUAGGACAUUUUCUGAGUUGUGUAAAAAAACAAAAUAAUGAGAUAGAGAAUUUCUAUUUUAGGGUUCUUAUUCAUACCAACUCAUAGAUUAAGAAUCUUUCUAGUUAUGGUUCAUAGAAAAAUAACAGCAAACACGGAAUACAAGAUUCAUUUUUCUGUAUUUAAUAACAUUACAACCACCAAACUCCACAGAUAGCGUUUCUGAAGAGUAGCUCCCGUGCGAGUGCCAUCUGGUGGAGGAGAAUAGUAUCACAGCUAAAAUUCGGAUUUCAAAAUUGCAUGUCGGUCUUCACUUGUUACAGACAGUUAUUGUGUAUUUUUUCUCUUCUUUUGACUUUAAAGACAUUCAAAUUAUUAUUGAGAUAAUUACAGAAGCAGACACUGACACUUACUGCUGCAGAAUAUAUGACAUUUAUCAGAAAGAAACAUCAGAUUUCAUUUCAGCACAUUUGAUCUGUUAUGAAUUAGUGGGAUCUGCAGUUCUACUUCUCUUAUUGGGUGGUUGAAGUUUAAAUUUACUGGAUAAGAAGAGUGUGGGCAGGGCCUUGCUUAAUUUGAGAAAACGCCGUUUUUUACGGCGUUCUGUGACAUUUUUUACACCGUAAAAAACUGCGUUUUCUCGGGACGUUGAACGCCAUCGCGCGUAAAAACCGCCGUUUUUUACGGCGUUCUGCAGGUGCUCUUAAAACGCCGCAUUAAACGACGUUUUGAUGGGAUUUUCACCGUAUUUUACGGCGUUCUGACUUAUAAAACAGCGUUUUUUGCGUGACCUUUUAACCAGACGCGUGGUAAAAGUGGCGUUUUGUGGCAUAGUUGUCUUGCCAUACAGCUCAGUAUGUACAAAAAUAAACGUUGCAUAAAAGUGUGCAUAAAUCCACACGAAAAUGCACGUUAAUUAUCUUCGGGGCACUUAUUCUCAACAAAAAAUGAAAACGGUGUAGGACCAGCAGAUUAAUUCCAACCAGUGAGGUUUGAUGAUUCCUAACAAGCUGGAGACAAUCACAGAUGUCCAUAGAAUAGCUGCGUAAAGUUGCACGUUACUGUUGAACCAUGGCAGCUUUGGCACAGCGUGGGGACAUCGCCAACGGAAAUAGUUGGAGGGAGUGAUUUUUUUCAGAGAUCGUGUCACACAGUGGGAAUUUCCUGUGGGUGGUGUGAUUAUGUAUAUAUUUUUUGCAUGAUUUUUUUAUUGCAUGUUUUGUUUGUAAUACACUGUGGACUCUUUGGAAAAGGACAAAUUGGUUGAUGACUGUCACCUGUGAAGUUCUGGGUGGGCCCUGGAAGCGGCCUAUCAGCUGUUUCACAGACCUAAGCCUAAGAGCUGGAAGACUCAGACUGCAAGAGAGGAGCAGCAGCCAGGCGCAAACAAGUUGAUCGGCGCAAGGUGGCGGUUCAGUCCCGCAGCGGAGACGGCAGUCAGUGGAAAACGCGUUGGUUUGACCGUUGGGCAGAGAUAAAAGUCUGCCCGCAUCUGGCUGUGACGCGAGGGAGCCCAUUGACUAGUGGGAGGCGCCCGUUGUGGAUCACUGCGAGUCUGUGGUGCGACGGACCACUGCUGGGGUGGAACGAGGAGGUCCCUUCUCCUCCUGGAUUGGAUUGGUGGGAUCCCACCUGCGUAGGAGCCCUUUAAUUAAACAUAUCGGAGGCGAUCUCAUCCUGGAGGAAUGAUAUUUUUAGCGAUUUUUAGUUUGUUUUUUGUUUUUUUUUAAGGAAAGUUUUAUGGUGUACUGCUAGAUGUGAAAAGACAAAAACUAAUGACUCCUGUUGUGGUCCCUCUGGGAAUAAACCCUGUGUAACCCAGUA